rfam:Freshwater sediment metagenome lwMethane_BCGO22911_y1, whole genome shotgun sequence.
CAGCGGGUGUGAGUCCCGCCCGGCAACUGUCGCUCCAGCCGGUAGCAAUCGGAGCGUCGAGGGAGGCAACGAACUCGACGAAGCCUCUGGUGUAGAGGGUCGCCACUGGCGACUCGGCGAGCAGGCAGGCCGUAACGUGA